GCAGAAUUGUGUGCAUAGUUUUCCAUCUGUGUCUGGUGGUAUGGUCUAUUUGUGUUUUGCAUUUAGACUGUACUGCUCACACAAAACCUGUGGCCAAAGAUGAACUUGAGAUCAUAGUACUGGUCUAGUGAUGUGUCUGAAAGACAAGCCUCCCACUGGCCAGCCUCCACACUCUCAAACAUCU
ensembl:snoRNA small nucleolar RNA, H/ACA box 23